rnacentral:rRNA from 1 species
AUUGAACGCUGGCGGAAUGCUUUACACAUGCAAGUCGAACGGCAGCACGGGGCAACCUGGUGGCGAGUGGCGAACGGGUGAGUAAUACAUCGGAACGUGCCCAAUCGUGGGGGAUAACGUAGCGAAAGUUACGCUAAUACCGCAUACGAUCUACGGAUGAAAGCGGGGGAUCGCAAGACCUCGCGCGAAUGGAGCGGCCGAUGUCAGAUUAGGUAGUUGGUGGGGUAAAGGCUCACCAAGCCAACGAUCUGUAGCUGGUCUGAGAGGACGACCAGCCACACUGGAACUGAGACACGGUCCAGACUCCUACGGGAGGCAGCAGUGGGAAUUUUGGACAAUGGCGCAAGCCUGAUCCAGCCAUUCCGCGUGCAGGAUGAAGGCC